rnacentral:lncRNA from 1 species
AAUCAUCCAUAGAAUUAGUUUCGAUACAUAUUAGAGAUAUAUAUUUAAUUCUCAAAUGCUCCCGAUCAUAGGAUUAUCAUGAGAACAGUGAUAGAUCUGGAUAGACUGGUGCACAAAUUACUUUCUUUGAGAUAGAUGAGUCUCUAAUCUACUGUGUAGAGAUACAGGAUGAUGAGUGCGGGUAGUUGUUCGAAAAUAACUAGUAUUGAGCAUGACCAUACGAGAGAUCAUUUGGAUUUUUAUUUGAUCGUCAGUGAUUGUCUCAAUGCUGUAGUUGUGUGACUAGUCUUUUGACUUAAGAUGGUACUGC